rnacentral:rRNA from 1 species
AGCUCACUGGUCGAGUGGUCUUGCGCGGAAAAUAUAACGGGGCUAAGUAUCUAACCGAAGCUUGGGCUUGCGUUUACGCAGGGGUAGGGGAGCGUCGAAUACGGGGUGAAGUCAGAGCGGAAGCACUGGUGGACUGUAUUCGAGUGAGAAUGCCGGAAUGAGUAGCGAGAAUUAUGUGGGAAUCAUAAUGGCCGAAAAUCUAAGGUUUCCUGGGGAAGGUUCGUCCGCCCAGGGUUAGUCGGGAGCUAAGGCGAGGCCGCGGGGCGUAGUCGAUGCACAUACGGUUGAAAUUCCGUAACCACCUUAUCGAAUGAAAGCUGACACUUGGAAAUAGCGGGACCCGGAGAUUGGUAGAUCCGGGCGUAAGGGACCGAAUACGAGUAGGGAAGUCCGCGAUGUUCCGAGGCGAGAAAAGGCGAAGGUAGGGUGCCCGUACCGCAAACCGACACAGGUAGAUGAGGAGAGAAUCCUAAGGCCAACGGGAGAAGGGUUGUUAAGGAACUCGGCAAAAUGACCCCGUAACUUCGGGAUAAGGGGAGCCUGUCUAUGGCAGGCCGCAGAGAAUAGGCCCAAGCGACUGUUUACCAAAACCACAGGUCUAUGCUAAAUCGAAAGAUGACGUAUAUGGGCUGACGCCUGCCCGGUGCUGGAAGGUUAAGAGGAGAUGUCAGGCAACGAAGCAUUGAAUCGAAGCCCCAGUAAACGGCGGCCGUAACGAUAACGGUCCUAAGGUAGCGAAAUUCCUUGUCAGGUAAGUUCUGACCCGCACGAAUGGCGUAACGAUUUGGGCGCUGUCUCAACAGCCCACCCGGCGAAAUUGUUGUACUGGUGAAGAAGCCAGUUACCCGCAACUAGACGGGAAGACCCCAUGGAGCUUUACUGCAGCUUAAUACUGGAAUUCGGUAAUUCAUGUACAGGAUAGGUGGGAGACUGAGAACUAACGUCGUCAGGCGCUAGGGAGUCGCCCUUGGGAUACCACCCUUGAAUUGCUGGGUUUCUAACCUGCGGCCGUGAAUCCGGUCGAGGGACACUGUUAGGCAGACAGUUUGACUGGGGCGGUCGCCUCCUAAAAGGUAACGGAGGCGCUCAAAGGUUGGCUCAGCACGGACGGUAAUCGUGCAAUGAGUGUAAACGUAUAAGCCAGCCUAACUGCGAGAGUGACGGCUCGAGCAGUAACGAAAGUUGGAGUUAGUGAUCCGGUGGUAUGUGAGUGGAAAUGCCAUCGCUCAACGGAUAAAAGCUACCCUGGGGAUAACAGGCUGAUCUCCCCCAAGCGUCCACAGCGACGGGGAGGUUUGGCACCUCGAUGUCAGCUCGUCACAUCCUGGGGCUGUACUCGGUCCCAAGGGUUCGGCUGUUCGCCGAUUAAAGUGGCACGCGAGCUGGGUUCAGAACGUCGUGAGACAGUUCGGUCCCUAUCUGUUGCGGGCGUAAGAGAUUUGAAGGGGGCUGUCCUUAGUACGAGAGGACCGGGAUGGACGCACCUCUGGUGCACCUGUUGUCGUGCCAACGGCAUAGCAGGGUAGCUACGUGCGGACGAGAUAAACGCUGAAAGCAUCUAAGCGUGAAACUUUCCCUAAGAUAAGAUCUCUCAUCCUUUAUGGAGUAAGGCACGAUGUAGACUAUAUCGUAGAUAGGCCGGAGGUGGAAGUGCAGUAAUGUAUGGAGCUGACCGGUACUAAUAAGCCGAGGGCUUGACCG